rnacentral:rRNA from 1 species
UACAGAGGGGGCAAGCGUUGUUCGGAAUUACUGGGCGUAAAGGGCGCGUAGGCGGCCUGUUAAGUCGAACGUGAAAUCCCCGGGCUCAGCCCGGGAACUGCGUCCGAUACUGGCAGGCUUGAAUCCGGGAGAGGGAUGCGGAAUUCCAGGUGUAGCGGUGAAAUGCGUAGAUAUCUGGAGGAACACCGGUGGCGAAGGCGGCAUCCUGGACCGGCAUUGACGCUGAGGCGCGAACGCCAGGGGAGCAAACGGG